rfam:Ipomoea nil DNA, scaffold: scaffold0681, cultivar: Tokyo-kokei standard.
GCUCUUGUAGCUCAGUUGGUUAGAGCACCCGUUUAGUAAGUAGGAGGUCUUGAGUUCAACUCUCAACAAGAGCA